AUGCUAUGGAAAAAAAAAUUAGGAGUAACACGCGGAAUGUCGGGAAGACAAGAAUUAAAACAAUUAAUCCCCAAUUUUAAUUGCGUUAAAGAAACAGUCAAUAUAUUUUUUAGUAUUAUAUGUAGAAGAGUUUAUGGGAUUUUGAAUAAAUGCAGAAUCCAUUUGAAAACAAGUACAAAAUAUAUGUAUAAUAAUACAAUUGAAAAGUUGUAUAUUCUAUAUUUUAAAUUAAACCAUUUUAAAAUAUAUAAUCACACAAUUUGUUUUAUGAGUAAUAUUAUUAAUAAAAAUCUACAAAAACGUAUGCUAGUAGCAUCUUGUGAAAAAAAAAAAAAAAAAAAUGACAUAAAAAAGAGUAUAGGUAAAAAUUCAAAAGACAUGUGUGGAUUAAAAUCAAAUGAACAUUACAUAAUUGAUUUAUAUAAUGAAACAUCUUUACAGAAUGAAUUAAACGACUGUUUUUCUUUAGGAAAUAAUAAACUAAAUGAUGAAUUGAAUUAUAAUACUACUAUAUCUUGUAACGAUAGUAUAAGUAGUGAAAAUUGUGAAAUAAGUAGCAACUCUUGUUUAAAGAAAAAUGAUGCGUCGUCUUUAGAAACUUUGGAUUGCGAUGAACAUGAAGUGAAUGAAAGUAUAAAAAACUGUUAUUUAUACAAUGGUUACAUAAAUGCUGAUACUUAUAAAAAAUCUGAAGAAUAUAAAUUUUUAAAACAUCAUUUAAAUGAACAAAAAAACAGUUAUUCAAAUAUAUCGAUUGACAUGUCAUCACAAAGCUACGAUGGACAAAUUCAAAUGGAAAGUGGACAAGAGGACGAUUUCGAAGAACAAGCAGAUGAUGUGCGAAUAGAGAUAUAUAAAAAUGAGAGAAGGCAUAAAAAAAAAAAAUAUAUAUAUAAAAUUUAUAAUACAGAAAUAACAGAAAUGCAAAAUAUGUAUUGUGAACAAUAUUUGGACGAAAAUUAUUAUUCAUCUUCAUAUUAUUGUUCUAGUGAAGAUAGUGAUGAUAUCGAUGAAGAUGAUUAUACAGAUAAUGAUUACCAAAAUAAUUAUUUAGAAUAUAUGCAUGAAAAUAAUUAUUUAUGUAAUUACAGCUUAAACAGUUAUGAUACUAUUGAAAGUAUUUAA
rnacentral:lncRNA from 1 species